UGAUCUACAGGAUAGGUACGAGCUUGCCAGUAUUCUCUCUUAGUAUAAUAGCAGAAGAUGGGCUUAAUUUUCCCAGUAACCAAUUGUGAGAACACAUGUGAAAUGCUUCCUAGAGUGUUUCUGGGGGCUCAUCAGGUGGGCACUAUGUGUUGUGCGUGUAACAAAUUCCCAAACUCUCAGAAGGUGGGAGACCAGAAAUUUUCAUAUUUUUUCCAUAAAGAGUUUAGGCACCAAGCUACUCUUACAUAGGUCAUUGGGCUCCUUCCCCAAAUCCAUUUCCCAGAUACCAGGAAUGGAUGUGAUGCAGGACAGGUGCGCCCUAAAAUUGGGGCUUAUCCCAGGAUGGUUUCUGGCUUUGCCCAGGGAAGAAUUCAAGGGCAGGCCAGUGGUGUUAGAUGGCAGUGUUUUAUUUAACAGUACUGGUCUUUGUGGAUCAGUGCUAACUCAUAGGCAGUACACCCAGAGUCAGCAACAUAUGGGCUCUUGGCAACUAUAUUGAUACCCACUUUCAAUUAUAUGCAAAUUAAGUGGUGGGUUAUUUAAAACUUUCUAAGGAAGGAGUGAUAACUUUCAGGUCAUUGCCAUGGCAUUUGUAAGCUGUCAUAGCAUUGGUGGGAGUGUUUUAUGCUAAUGAGCAGUGAGAGCAUGUAGAAAUUGCCGUUCUUGUCAUCUGCUGGUUUUGGCCCCUUUCUUUACUUUAUCCUGCCUGUGCCAGAUCUUGUUUUGGCCAGUAGGGUUGUGAUCAGAAUACAAGUCCUGUUGGUCUCCUACCUCAGAUGAAUGUUGUGAGGAGUGAGGAGCCUUUUUUUAAGGGUAAGCAGUCUCAGGACUGCUAAUAUAAACUCUUUUGCGCAGUAGGUGGUGGGACUUCGUUAUGACAGGUUCUACAGGUCCACUGUACGAGCAGACAUUAGCUGUGACUCAGGCAGCAUGUAUUACUCCUUGGAACCACCACCAAGAAAGAUGAUCAGACACUGCUAUUUCUCUACCCGAUAGUUCAAUUCUAGUAUGAGAGUUGCUGUGUGAAGGAAGUGAGUAUGAUGACCAAACAGUGGAGUAAAUGUUUGGAGACCCCUGAAACAUGUGAACUUCUUAGGAAUUGAGUACCGUUCCCCAGCCCUGUCUGUCUCACCCAUUCUCCUCUCCACAUAUGUGGGAUGUUUCAGGACUCGGUGGCUUUUGAGGAUGUAGAUGUGAACUUCACCCAGGAGGAGUGGGCUUUGCUGGAUCCUUCCCAGAAGAAUCUCUACAGAGAUGUGAUGUGGGAAACCAUGAGGAAUCUGGCCUCCGUAGGGAAAAAAUGGAAGGACCAGAACAUUAAAGAUCACUACAAACACCGAGGGAGAAAUCUAAGAAGUCAUAUGUUAGAAAGACUCUAUCAAACUAAGGAUAGUAGUCAGCGUGGAGGAAUUUUUAGCCAGUUUGCAAACCAGAAUCUGAGCAAGAAAAUUCCUGGAGUGAAGCUCUGUGAAAGCAUUGUAUAUGGAGAAGUCAGCAUGGGUCAGUCAUCCCUUAAUAGACACAUCAAAGAUCACAGUGGACAUGAACCAAAGAAAUAUCAGGAAUAUGGAGAGAAGCCAGAUACACGUAACCAGUGUUGGAAACCCUUCAGUUCUCACCACUCCUUUCGAACACAUGAGAUAAUUCACACUGGAGAGAAACUCUAUGAUUGUAAGGAAUGUGGAAAAACCUUCUUUUCUCUCAAAAGAAUUAGAAGACACAUUAUCACACACAGUGGAUAUACACCAUAUAAAUGUAAGGUGUGUGGGAAAGCUUUUGAUUAUCCCAGUAGAUUUCGAACACAUGAAAGAAGUCACACUGGAGAGAAACCCUAUGAAUGUAAGGAAUGUGGAAAAGCCUUCACUUGUAUCACAAGUGUUCGAAGACACAUGAUAAAGCACACUGGAGAUGGACCUUAUAAAUGUAAGGUAUGUGGGAAACCCUUUCAUUCUCUGAGUCCAUUUCGAAUACAUGAAAGAACUCACACUGGAGAGAAACCUUACGUAUGUAAACAUUGUGGUAAAGCUUUCGUUUCUUCAACAUCAAUUCGAAUACAUGAAAGAACUCAUACUGGAGAGAAACCCUAUGAGUGUAAGCAAUGUGGGAAAGCCUUCAGUUAUCUCAACUCCUUUCGAACACAUGAAAUGAUUCACACUGGUGAGAAACCCUUUGAAUGUAAGCGAUGUGGUAAAGCCUUUAGAUCUUCUAGUUCCUUUCGACUACAUGAAAGGACUCACACUGGACAGAAACCCUAUCAUUGUAAGGAAUGUGGGAAAGCCUAUUCUUGCCGUGCCAGCUUUCAGAGACACAUGUUAACACACGCUGAAGAUGGACCACCUUAUAAAUGCAUGUGGGAAAGCCUUUAAUGUUCUGGGUUCAUGUCAGAUACAUUAAAAUACUCACUGAAGAGAAGCCCUAUGAAUGUAAGUAAUGUGGGAAAGCAUGAAAUUCUGUUGGUGCCUUUUUUAAUACAUGAAAGAAAUAAUUCUAGAGAGAAGCCAUAUUACAUGUAAGUAACAUGGGAAAGCUUUCAAUCAUUUUAGUUCCUUUCAAAUACAUGAAAGAACUCAUCAUGGAGAAAACCAAACAAAUGCUUUUUGGAAAGGAACCCAUAUUUGAGAGAAACCCUGGGUAAAGAGUGUAGGAAAGGUUUUGUCAUCACACAACCCUGUCACACAUGAAUGCAUAGUGGAGAGAACCUUGGUAAAUGUAAAGAGUGUGGGAGAGCCUUUAGUCAUUUUAGUUCCACUUGAAGCCAUGAAAGAACACACAAAAGAGAGAAAGCUCUUGAAUAUAAGCAAUGUCCAAACGUUUUUAGCCAGCCCACAUGCUUUCAACAACAUGUAAGAACGUACCCUGGAUCAAAACACUAUAAAUAUGAAAACCACAAGGAAGGUUUUCCAUUAUACUUUUAAAGUCAUUUGAGGGCUCUGUGGCUUUGUGGGUUAAAGUACUUGUCUGGCAAACAGAAGAUGCUGGAUUUCAAUCCCAGCAGGGCCUCACUAGUUGAGGUAUUGAAUUUGAACAGAUGUUUUGGCUCUGGCUGGGUGUGGUGGCUCACACCUGUAAUCCCAGCACUUUGGGAGGCUGAGGCAGGAGGAUCACUUGAGGUCAGGAGUUUGAGACCAGUGUGCAAAACAUAGCAAGACCUCAUCUCAG
rnacentral:tRNA from 1 species